UGGGGAAUAUUGGACAAUGGGCGCAAGCCUGAUCCAGCCAUGCCGCGUGAGUGAUGAAGGCCCUAGGGUUGUAAAGCUCUUUCACCGGUCAAGAUAAUGACGGUAACCGGAGAAGAAGCCCCGGCUAACUUCGUGCCAGCAGCCGCGGUAAUACGAAGGGGGCUAGCGUUGUUCGGAUUUACUGGGCGUAAAGCGCACGUAGGCGGACUUUUAAGUCAGGGGUGAAAUCCCGGGGCUCAACCCCGGAACUGCCUUUGAUACUGGAAGUCUUGAGUAUGGUAGAGGUGAGUGGAAUUCCGAGUGUAGAGGUGAAAUUCGUAGAUAUUCGGAGGAACACCAGUGGCGAAGGCGGCUCACUGGACCAUUACUGACGCUGAGGUGCGAAAGCGUGGGGAGCAAACAGG
rnacentral:rRNA from 1 species